rnacentral:misc_RNA from 1 species
UUUCCGUAGGUGAACCUGCGGAAGGAUCAUUAUUGGAUCUUGAAACUUCAGGCUGCUGCUGUCUCUCCUCGGAGGGCAUGUGCACGCUUAUUGUCCAUUAUUUCUCCCACUGUGCACAAAUUGUUGAUCUUUCAGUAGGCCUAUGUUGUUUUUCAAAAUCUCUGAAUGUAAUAGAAUAGUUUUGAGUCUUGGGAAAUCAAAUACAACUUUCAGCAACGGAUCUCUUGGCUCUC